rnacentral:tRNA from 1 species
GCAGUGGUGGGUCAGUGGUAUAAUUCUCGCUUUCCGUGUGAGAGACCCGGGUUCAAUUCCCAGCCAGUGCA